ACCUGCCCAGAAGCGGGGGAUAACACCUGGAAACAGAUGCUAAUACCGCAUAACAACUUGGACCGCAUGGUCCGAGCUUGAAAGAUGGCUUCGGCUAUCACUUUUGGAUGGUCCCGCGGCGUAUUAGCUAGAUGGUGGGGUAACGGCUCACCAUGGCAAUGAUACGUAGCCGACCUGAGAGGGUAAUCGGCCACAUUGGGACUGAGACACGGCCCAAACUCCUACGGGAGGCAGCAGUAGGGAAUCUUCCACAAUGGACGAAAGUCUGAUGGAGCAACGCCGCGUGAGUGAAGAAGGGUUUCGGCUCGUAAAACUCUGUUGUUAAAGAAGAACAUAUCUGAGAGUAACUGUUCAGGUAUUGACGGUAUUUAACCAGAAAGCCACGGCUAACUACGUGCCAGCAGCCGCGGUAAUACGUAGGUGGCAAGCGUUGUCCGGAUUUAUUGGGCGUAAAGCGAGCGCAGGCGGUUUUUUAAGUCUGAUGUGAAAGCCUUCGGCUCAACCGAAGAAGUGCAUCGGAAACUGGGAAAACUUGAGUGCAGAAGAGGACAGUGGAACUCCAUGUGUAGCGGUGAAAUGCGUAGAUAUAUGGAAGAACACCAGUGGGCGAAAGGCGGGCUGUCUGGUCCUGUAACUGAACGCUGAGGCUCGAAAGUAUGGGUAGCAAACAGG
rnacentral:rRNA from 1 species